GACGAACGCUGGCGGCGUGCUUAACACAUGCAAGUUGAACGCUGAAGACCUGGCUUUUGUUGGGUUGGAUGAGUGGCGAACGGGUGAGUAACACGUGAGUAACCUGCCCUCUUCUUUGGGAUAACGCCCGGAAACGGGUGCUAAUACUGGAUAUUCACUGAUCUUCGCAUGGGGGUUGGUGGAAAGGUUUGUUCUGGUGGGGGAUGGGCUCGCGGCCUAUCAGCUUGUUGGUGGGGUGAUGGCCUACCAAGGCUUUGACGGGUAGCCGGCCUGAGAGGGUGACCGGUCACAUUGGGACUGAGAUACGGCCCAGACUCCUACGGGAGGCAGCAGUGGGGAAUAUUGCACAAUGGGCGAAAGCCUGAUGCAGCGACGCCGCGUGAGGGAUGGAGGCCUUCGGGUUGUAAACCUCUUUCGCUCAUGGUCAAGCCGCAACUGUGGGUUGUGGUGAGGGUAGUGGGUAAAGAAGCGCCGGCUAACUACGUG
rnacentral:rRNA from 1 species